AAGACAUUUGGUCAUUUUUGUAAAAACCAUGGAAUGAAUCCAUCAGUAAUUGUGAAUUGAUUGCAGUGCCUGGGGGAAAUCUGUCAGGAAAUUUAAGGGGAUGACACAGAUGCCAUCUUGGAAGGAGUAGGAGUAAAGUAAAAUCAACAAACCAAAGCACUCCAGAAAGAAAAAGGUACACGGAGAAUGGAUGAACGAGAAGAAAGAAUUGUUGGGUAUCACUGGAACUGGUUAUUCUUCAUUUUACACAUUAGCUACAACAUAAGAGAGGAAGACUAAAAUUCUCUUUGAAUUUUAUACAUAUCCAUAUCCAUAAUAUCCAUAAGAAUUUAAUCAAACAUACACUGAGUAAAAAUAUGGCUGAGUCAUAUGAAUUUACUUUAAAAAAUAGAAG